GAGUGGUUGGCUGUUGCUGCCUUUGCAAUCACGGGUUCUCAGACUUUCUUCAAACUUCUACAAGUUGUUAGAUUAUUCUACCGUUGAAUCCUUUUUAUGGCAAGGUAUUUUUGUGUUUCAUGUUGUCUUGAUUUGUUUCUUACACAUGUGUGGAGGUUAUUCAGAAGGAAAUCAAGAUUUUGAGCAGAAAAUUAUAUGAUUCUUUUAGUUGUUUGGAAUCUUUAAAUAACAUUCGCAAAGUAAUUUCAGAUGGAGAACGUGAAUUUUGGGUUUUAAUUCAAAUUUGGAGUGCUAAUUAAG
rnacentral:lncRNA from 1 species